GUCCUUCCCAACCCGCCCGCGAAUCCCUAUAUUCGUCAGUGCCGGAGCAAUCCGGAUAUGGCGAUAAACUGCCAUCGUAAUAAACCCUGCGGACCCGGGGGCAGUACCCGGCGCCUCCACCAGAACCCGUUCAAGGACCGCGAGCGGUUUCCGGCGGGGGCGAAAUAGGAUCGACGAGGGCGUAAAGGGUGAGCUUUUGCCCGGCAUGGUACCCGCCGUUAUCGGGCCAAAUUGUAGUUGCAAACGACAACUAUGCAGAGGCACGCCUCGCUGCGUAAUGCAGUGAUGUAUCCUCAUCUGAAGCCCUUGCGGUUUGCACCGUAAGGCGGGGUUCGGAGGCACCUGGCAACAGAAGCCUCCACU
rnacentral:tmRNA from 1 species